rnacentral:lncRNA from 1 species
ACCCCUAACCCGUAUCCGUAGCUGGAAAGGGGUUACGAGGCAUUACCAAACAAAUCACAACUUCUGAACAAUUAUACAUGUAGACAUGUUUGAUUCUCUUGAAUAAAUCAACUUUAAAUAAUACCGUUAAAUAAUCACUUACAAAUAUUUUUUUUAAAUAUAACUAAUAUAUAAGUAGCCACUUAAAUCAUAAGCACCAAAAUCA